GUGGGGAAUAUUGGACAAUGGGCGAAAGCCUGAUCCAGCAAUGCCGCGUGAGUGAUGAAGGCCUUAGGGUUGUAAAGCUCUUUUACCAGGGAUGAUAAUGACAGUACCUGGAGAAUAAGCUCCGGCUAACUCCGUGCCAGCAGCCGCGGUAAUACGGAGGGAGCUAGCGUUGUUCGGAAUUACUGGGCGUAAAGCGCACGUAGGCGGUUACUCAAUUCAGAGGGGACAGCCUGGGGCGCAACCCCGGAACUGCCUUUGAAACUAGGUAACUGGAAUCUUGGAGAGGUCAGUGGGAAGCCGAGUGUAGAGGUGAAAUUCGUAGAUAUUCGGAAGAACACCAGUGGCGAAGGCGACUGACUGGACAAGUAUUGACGCUGAGGUGCGAAAGCGUGGGGAGCAAACAGGAUUAGAAACCCCGGUAGUCC
rnacentral:rRNA from 1 species